GGGAGUAGUUCGUAGUCUGGUGACGCGCCCGGUCUUCAAAACCGGUGGCGGGCGUAUCCCGUCCGCGGUGGGUUCGAUCCCCAUCUACUCCCGCCA
rnacentral:tRNA from 1 species